rnacentral:rRNA from 1 species
UACGAAGGGGGCUAGCGUUGUUCGGAUUUACUGGGCGUAAAGCGCACGUAGGCGGAUCGUUAAGUUGGGGGUGAAAUCCUGGAGCUCAACUCCAGAACUGCCUUCAAUACUGGCGAUCUAGAGUCCGGAAGAGGUGAGUGGAACUCCUAGUGUAGAGGUGGAAUUCGUAGAUAUUAGGAAGAACACCAGUGGCGAAGGCGGCUCACUGGUCCGGUACUGACGCUGAGGAGCGAAAGCGUGGGUAGCAAACAGG